rnacentral:rRNA from 1 species
UACGGGGGGAGCAAGCGUUGUUCGGAUUUACUGGGCGUAAAGGGCGCGUAGGCGGCCACCGCAAGUCGACUGUGAAAUCUCCGGGCUUAACCCGGAGAGGUCAGCCGAUACUGCAGGGCUAGAGUGCAGAAGGGGCAACUGGAAUUCUCGGUGUAGCGGUGAAAUGCGUAGAUAUCGAGAGGAACACCUGCGGCGAAGGCGGGUUGCUGGGCUGACACUGACGCUGAGGCGCGAAAGCUAGGGGAGCGAACGGG